rnacentral:lncRNA from 1 species
AAUGCAUUAGAUGAGACAAGAGAUCAUCAAGGAAUGUCAAAGACGGCAAUUUUGGUAAAAUAAGUGCUUCAAAAGAACCCUGGCUACACGAAAAUAAAUGAACUCAGAAUAAGUAAAACCUUGUGCACAAUAAUACUUUAAUAAUUAUUUAGUAUGGAGAAUAUGAUAAAUACGAAAAUGAGGUCCAAACUCUGUGCUAAGAAAUUGAAGGAAAUAUUCAUCACCAAAUUUAAUGAAUGUUUUGUAAGCAUUUAAUUGUUAACACAUUUCGUGCUAAAGUUAUCCAUUUAUCCUUAGUAGUCACUAAGAAAUAAUGAGGAUACUUCCCUUAGGAUGAUCUUUAUUCUAAGAGAUAACACACUACCAUCAAUAUGAUAUUCAACUUCUUCAUUGCGAAUUACAAGUGUAUUUCGAAUAUUAAGGCGAACACCAAAUUUAAUAUAAUUUAUCCACUAAUAUUGUCGUGACAGGUAAGUCUUUAUCUAAAUGGUUUGACGUCCCCAUAUUAGGAGUGAACAUCUACAGUAUCAUGGGAAACUUAUUAUAGUUUGAAUUUAAUUUACUCACAUGCUACUUACAAUUUGUUAUAUCCACCUUGUAUGUUGAUAUUCUCAACCUAAUUUUUAUGUUGUGACAGUUAAUACUAUUUGCAUUAUAAAAUAAAUUACAAUUAACAUUAA